UAUUGGUCACGUCACAUAAGUGACAUAACUACCGUUCGUGUUGGCAAAUGUGUGGUAAUUUUAGGGGAAGUACAUGAAGUGGUUUGAUCAUUCAUAGACGAAAUGUAACAAGUUUUUUUGUAAUUAUAUAUAUUUUUCUGCAUCACGUUUAUCUUAUCCAAAAGCUGAAUUUAAUGUAAAAGCAAUUGUUCAAAUUUUGAACAACCUCAACCCGUUGACGUACCCCUCUCAUACUGGGUAUUUACUGUAGAAGUGCUCAAAGGAAUUGAUUAUUUCAAUUGAAAUCGAAAGAACUAUCGAAAUGGUUUUUCAGUUCAACCCACUGGUUUUCGGUGCUAUGUUAGUGGUAGCACUAGGGACUGCAGCUUACACAUAUUUCUCAAAUCGUCAGACUCAGAGCUAUGAAGCUCCCCAGAGUCAUGCCUAUGCUCCUACGAAAGAGCCCCCAAGAAAAAGGAAGAAUGUUGGUGAAUGCAGGAUCUGCUCAAGAAAAUUGGUGGGUCCAACGAAAACAUUACCCUGCAGGCAUGAGUUUCAUAUUGAAUGUAUCAACCGUAAAACUUGUCCGUUGUGCACAUACAGCAGGCGAAUGUAAUGAAAUUACAUUAGUUUCGAAAGUGACAGAGGCAAUAGUUUAUUACAGUUUUAUGGAACGAUAGGCAUAUCUUUUCUAAUCAUUGAGUUGAACGUUAAUUGGUGGGAUUUUAUUAGAUCUUGAACAGCAAAAUAUUGAAUGCAUUAAGUAUAGAACUAAAACAACACAAAAUUAAUAUUCUCAAAUUGAAAUGCAGAAAAGAUUGAUAAAUGUAUUUAGAUCAAUUCACGAGUUAAUUUAUUUAAACAGUUUCACUUUGUAUCUGGUAAUUUUUGGCAUUGUACAAAACUCUUUCAACAUAAACUGAAUAAUACGUUUUUGACAAUUGAAAUUUUGAUGGAUCUGACUGUAUAACUUGUUUCUCUUGAUUAUAUUGAGUUUUAAGUAUAAUUAAGAAUAAACUGAAAUUAAUUAUUUUAAGAACUUGUAAAGUUUACAAAAUUUAUCUUAUUGAGGUAUUCACAUGAAGGUCUGUAAUUAUCUGUAAUUUUCAAAAAAUGCUCUGACAAGGGCUGAUACAUUUUAUUGGUUUUUGAAAGUGUGAAUAUAAAUAUCAAAAAGUAAUGAAAUGAAACUUAAGCAUAAGGAGAAAUACAUUUAUGAUUGAAAUUUUGACAUUUCUCUCCUAUUAUCAGAAGUAACAUGAGGAAUGAUUUUCACCAAUACUGUUUUUUAGUAUAUCAUUAAUACAGCUUUUCUUGGUUUUGUUUAGUUAUAAGAAAAUUCAUUAUAGUAGUUUUAAGAUAACACCAACAUUUCAUUUGAAUAAGUUAAGUAUAUUUUAUGAUUCUACUAGAUCAUAGCGAUAUUUUUAGAAUACCCGAUAUAUUUGAGUUUGAUAAUUAAAUUGUUAAUAACUGAUAUUAUAAAAUCAAGCCUUAUUGAAAAACGUUA